rnacentral:misc_RNA from 1 species
GAUGAAGAACGCAGCGAAAUGCGAUAAGUAAUGCGAAUUGCAGAAUCCGUGAGUCAUCGAAUCUUUGAACGCACAUUGCGCCCUUUGGUAUUCCGAAGGGCAUGCCUGUUCGAGCGUCAUUAUCACCCCUCAAGCCCGGCUUGGUGUUGGACGUCUAGCCAGUCUCUCAGGAGCUGGCUCGCCCCAAAGAUAAUGACGGUGGUCUGUGAAGUCACCAGUACGACGAGCCCCUGGGCAUGUACUGUUCUCGAGUUCCAGCGCCGGUCUCGCUCACGACGUGAGCACUUUUUUUCUGAAAGGUUGACCUCGGAUCAGGUAGGGAUACCCGCUGAACUUAAGCAUAUCAAUAAGCGGAGGA